rnacentral:misc_RNA from 1 species
ACGCAGAGGGAGCGGCCACGCGCCCACCCAUCCACCACGUACACACACACACACACACACGCACAAAACGCUCUCUGGAGUGAGCUGAGAAUGCUCCGUCGUACGUGGCUGCCACUGAUGUCGCUGACAGAGGCGCAGCACUUGGUACUCGACGCGCAGGGGCAGCAGACCCCAACUCCGCGAGCGCCUCUUCCACAGCUGCUCGCGGCGCUGGCAGAGCACUAUCGGGCUGGUUGUGAGACGUUUACCAAAGCUGCACUGCAGCACGUUGUGCAGCUCGAUCAGUCGGACGAGGACACGAGGCACAUCGCAGCCGCACGUCUUGUCGCGCCGUUGCCACCGAACUGUCUCCUUACAGAUGUGAACGGAGCGCCGCCACACACCGCCGCGCCCCCGAAAGCGCCGCCGCACUUGAUCACGGAGGUGCUGCGCGCCUACCCACACACACCGGAAGUGCGCGAGCGGUGCUGCCGUUGCAUUGCCAAUAUGUGCCAGCUCAGCGCCGAUGCCUCCACCAGCAUUCAGCUCGUCCCUGCGGCCUGCCAUAGUGGCACCCCUGCAACCAGCACACUGCCUCUGGCCGACGCCCUUGUCGAAGAGGGCGCCGUGGAGCUGGUGCUUGGGACUCUGGCCAUAGCGGGCCGUCUCAGCUCCAAGGGCCGCUGCUGGACAGCCAUGGCGAUGCUCAACCUCACAUGCAUGUCUCACAACGGCGCCGCCCGGGCCACAGCUGCCGGUGCUGUCGAUCGCCUGGCCGAGUUCGUCUUGUUUCUAUUGGAGGACGCGUCGCGUGCCUCCGCUGCCUCCACCGCGGCGCCGAUCCGCGGACUCGUCGAGGAAGCGACCAUCGCCCUCGACGCCGCGCUUGGAGCGCUGACUGGCGUUCUAGCGGCCGAGGCGCCAGAGAACGCCAGCAGUAUCUCUUUCAACUACGAGAAAGCGAGCUACGUCGCCGUCGACGCCGUAGUGCGGUCGCUGUUGGCUGCGUCGGCGCUGAUGGUUCGGGAUGGACGAAACAACGGCGCGUACGACGCCUCGCUCUUGUCACGUCGCUGCGGCACGGUACAUUUCUCAAGUGCGUCUGAAACGCAGCAGACGGCCGUGGCCGUGCUGCUGCCGCUCCUUCACAAGGGCUGGAUGGCACUGCAGUCGUUGUGCAGCUUCCCGGCCAACCUGCCGAUGGUCUUCGACGUCAUUUACGAGGCGGCAAACGCAAACCAGGAGAGCAUGGCGAUGGCGAACGAGACGGACGGGGGUACGGAGGAGGUCUUGCAGGUGACUGGGCAGACGGAGCGGCAGUACGUCGCGGCGCUGUCGUGUCUCGUCGACGCGGCGUUGUUCUUGACAACAGAGCUUGAGGGGCUGGAGGCGGUCGGCACGGAUAAGCUGGCAUGCCUGCAGAACGAUAUCCGGCUCUACGUGAUGGACGUCAUGCAAGCCAUGACAGCGUCGCGGAAGGAUCUGACAAGCAAGGAUACCGCCGCUGCUUCAGCAAGUGCCGGGGGCGCCGGUGAGGACGCCGAGGAAGAGGCGCGAGACAGCGCGACGGCUGACACUUCCCCUGUGUACCCGACGGCGGCGGCGAUGAGCGUGACGGACGUUCUGACGGCUGGUACGGUAAGCAACAUGGCACUGGCGUGUGCCGUCCGCCUCCACAUCGAGCACCAAGAGCGCCGCAGCCGGAGCGAGCACCAGGAUCGCCAUAGUACCUGCAGCGCGCACCCGCAGUGUCGUCGCGGCGUCCCUACUCCGUACGCCGCCCGCGACUUAACGCUGCUCUCUAAGUCGCUUGCGGUAUUGGCUAAUGCGGCGGAGAUUGGCGACGAGGCGGCGACGUCAGCCAACGCGGUUGCGGCUCUGCAGGCAAUCCUGCAGGAUGCGGCGGAAGGUGUCAUGUCCUUGCCGCCAGCGUACGGGGCUGAGCUGGCGGAGCUCUUCAGACCCACCGAGAGCGCAGAGGACAAUGCUGAGGUGCGUGGCGUCUCAGGCAUUCACCCUGAGGACCGGCUCUCUUUCCUGCAACAAGCGGCUCUGGUGGGGCAGGUGUAUGCAGUGCUCUGGAGCACGCUGCGCACCGCUCAGGGUGUGGCGACAGUGUCGCAGAUGAGUGUGAUGCAGACAGCCAAGGGAGUGCAGACGUCGCUGCGGGAGUCGUACCUGCCGGCGCUGGCAGCGGCGAGGGAACGAUUCGGCGCUCGCCCGGCCGCAGACGCAGGUGAUGAGGCAGCGAAGCCGGCGACCGUUUCGUGGGUAGCGAACACAGCUGAGGAGACGGUAACCCGAUUGCUGAAACUGUCGGACGAGCUCAUCAGCAACAUGCAGAGGCUGUCCGAAAGUACGCAACGCACCCCGGCGUGAGGCGUGCCAGCUGCCGACGCUGCCGUUCUUCCCCCUCCCAAGCUACUGCUGGCGUCUGUCUCGCGCUCUUUCCCUGCGUUGCCGUUUCGCGGCCUUCUUUUUUGUUGUUUUGAUUCGCGUCUUAAGUGCACGCUGGGUGCAGCCAUUGUCUCUCUCCCUUCCUAACACCUCUGUGACACACACGCACACGCACACAC